ensembl:lncRNA
UAGAAGGAAAAAAUGUGCUAUAUAAUCUGAAGCUCGUGCAGAAGAUAGCUGGAUGCUAAUGGUUUGGUAAUGAUCCAGGUUCCUGACAGACGGUGUGUGACGGCACCAUGUGGAGAUCGAUCACGAUCCUACAUACAUCUGAAGUCCACAAUCAACAUGAGUUACACAAAACAACUCAUGCAAAAUCCUCAUAUUACGGAGGCACAGACAGAGGAGCCAAUUAAAUUCAGUCCAGAGUUCUGCCUCCUCUCGUCCGUCUCAGAGGAACUGCAGGAUCUGGAACCACAAACAUUCCAGAUCAUCGAGGAGGAAGUGACAUCACUCGAUCCGUCCCGAUCAGGAACCAUCCAUCAGUCAGAACUCACAUGUCUCUUCCUCAGACUGCAGCUCCCUCUGAAGCUCACUACAUUGGCCUGUAUGUUCCAAUCCUUCAGUAACACCACUGACCCAGAGAAGGUGCACUAUCAAGACUUGAUGCAGUUCAUACAGAAAGCUGUACAAGAAGAAAAACAGCAAAGUGUUGAGGUCUGUCAAACUACCCAGCAUAUUAUCAUUUUAUACUGUCAGCAGCUUUCUGAAAUAAAAAUUAAAAAAAAAAAACCCUUUUGAUGGAUGUUUUUAAACAUGAUCCUUCCAGGGCGAGAUCUGGGGUGGGUCAGUGGCCAGUACUGACCUGGAAUCAGUGAGUGACAGGAGCGAUGCCAAUGCAGAACAAAGAGAAACAUGGCUUCAGAGGUUCCAGAAGAUGGAGAUGGCCUUACAAAUGUGUGACACCCAAAACGCAGGUAUAAAACCCAUCACACGAAUACAGUUCGUCUGAAGCACAUUUUAAAGUGAUUUAAAACACUGUGACUCAGAGAUGUUUUCAACACUGGUUUUCAGGUUAUGUGGACAGAGACCUAGCCAAACGCCUGCUACAGAACUACAGCCUCAUCUUUGAUCUGAAUCUGAGUCCUCUGAAGGUCAGCGAGGUCACGCGUAACACUCAGAUAGAGGGCAAAGUUCACCUCGCAUCAGCUCUGCAGAAACUGAAGGAACUAAACACAGCUUAACCUUUUUCUUAAACCGAAGCAAAUGCUACAGCAUUGCAGUCAUCUUUAAUAAAUGCUCUGCCUGGGAAAUAUUAACA